AUCCAGCUGACGAGUACCAAAAUAAGACGAAAUGAGCGUCAAACUGGAU
rfam:Schistosoma curassoni strain Dakar, Senegal genome assembly, scaffold: SCTD_scaffold0010048